rnacentral:tRNA from 1 species
GCCAGCAUGGCAUAGCGGUUUAGGCAUUGGACUACAACUUUGGAGACCAGGGUUCAAUUCCCAGCUCAGCCA